AGAUUUUGAAAUCAGAAUGGACACUAACAGGAAUCAAGUGCUACCACUUUCUGAUGUGGAUACAACUUCUGCUACAGAUAUUCAAAGAGUAGCUGUGCUAUGUGUUUCCAGAUCUGCUUAUUGUUUGGGUUCAAGCCACCCCAGAGGAUUCCUUGCUAUGAAAAUGCGGCAUUUGAAUGCAAUGGGUUUUCAUGUGAUCUUGGUCAAUAACUGGGAGAUGGACAAACUAGAGAUGGAAGAUGCAGUCACAUUUUUGAAGACUAAAAUCUAUUCAGUAGAAGCUCUUCCUGUUGCUGCUGUAAAUGUGCAAAGCACACAAUAAAGUGAAAAUCAACCUUUUCAUAUUAGGAGACAUGCAUUUGUAAAAAUUAAUAAAGAUGACAAGUCAGUUGUCAAUGGAAUUGAGCUAUCUGCUAAGACAAAAAAUGUUACCUCAGUUCACUAUUAAAAUUAAUUUUAGGAGUGGAAGAAAUGUUACUGCCAUUUUAAAAUAUGCUGAGAAAAUUCCAGAAGGGUUAUUUUUCCAACCACACCUAUUCCCUCUAGUGCCCAGAUAUUUGAUUUGUGAGCUGUACGUUUCACCUUUUCAUCUUUGAUCUACUAAAAACUGGUUUCUUAGUUGUGAGGUGUCACAGGCAGGUUGAUGUGGGUAGUAGUCCUUGUGUUUGGAAUCUGAAUAUUUAUACUCCUGCUCUAAGCUGUUCUAAGACUUGGGGUUAUGCCUUUAAAUCAUUUUCAAGCAUUGGCCAAAUAAUAAUUGGACAAAGUUCUAAAGUUGUCAAGUGUGUAAGAAUUAGUGAGGUAGCUGUUGAAAAUGAGUGAGGAUGGUAUUUGUAUUUGUAAUAAGCACUGCAGGUAGAGAUAUUUCAUGGAUUAUAAUAAGAGAAACACAGAUGAGAUAAUAUGUAGAUGGUAAGGAGUCUUACUGUUGUUGGGGUCCUUCCUUUCUCUUUCUUUUUUACCCCUUACCCCUCCUACAAUUUCAUGAAGUCUUUUAAAUUAAAUAUAUAGCUGAAUUGUGUUGUGAAUCAGACCUGAGGACUAUUUUUUCGAUUAUGUGUGUUCAUUCUUUGUUCAAAUAUUUGUCCAAAUUCAACUAUUUUGUUCAAUAUGCCUGUCUACCUAGUAUUUGGCUCGCUGGGGAUAUAGUGAUGAAUAGGCAUGGUCUCUUGUGGAACUUACAGCAUGGGUUCCAUGCAAGUUGGUGUUAUUCUGCCCCCAAGCACACAGACAUGCAAUUACUAGACAUCUUAGUAUGUGCCGGGCACUGCUAAGUAUUCAUUUGUGUGCUGCCUUUUCAUGAUCUGAACCCUUUGAGGUGUAGCUGCUAUUAUGAUUCUCUCUGUGUCUUCACUUCCUCAUCUCUAAAAUCAGGAUAGGUAUUUGCCCAAGGCUACACAGAGUAGGGGAGGGCUAGAGUUUGAAUGUGAGCUAACAUAGGCUUAUAAGAAAAUACAAAAACUGGGCUGGGCACGGUGGGUCGUGCUUGUCAUCCCAGCACUUGGGAGGCCGAGGUGGGCUGAUCAUGAGGUCAGGAGAUCAAGACAAUCCUGGCCAACACGGUGAAACCCUAUCUCUACUAAAAUACAAAAAAUUAGCCUGGCAUGGUGGUGCAUGCCUAUAAUCCCAGCUACUGGGGAGGCUGAGGCAGGGGAAUCGCUUGAACCCGGGAGGUGGAGAUUGCAGUGAGCCAGGAUGGUCCUGCUGCACUCCAGCCUGACCACAGAGCGAGACUCUGUCUCAAAAAAAAACAAAAACAAAAACAAACAAAAAAACAAAAACUAUAGCAAUAUGACAACAGCUGCCAGGUUGUAUCAAUUUAUCCAGCUUGCAUUUAGAAAAGGUUAGAGAUGAAAGGAAAUUUAGUGAUUAUUUAAUUGUUACUUCCCUCAUUUUAUGGACGAGGAAGAUAAGGCUCAAAGAAUUUUCCUUUCCUGAAGUCUCAGCUAUGCCAUUGGUUCCACAUCAUUUCAUCCUCGCCUGCUCUUCAGCUUGUGUCCCAGGAGAUCAGGCUUCUGGUUCCAGAUUGGACAACCUCUAGUUUUGUAUACUUGGUCAAAUGAUUUAACCUUAUAAGCUUCAGAACAAGAUGCAGAUAUUCUGUUAUUAAAGAAACUAAGGUUUUGUCUUUAAAUGUUGAGUGUGCAUCAGUUUUGAGUGUCUAAUUAUGACUCCUCUUCAAAGGAUUUGACAAAUUUGUGAAUAUUUAUGACCACCUUUUAGGGUAGUAAUUUUCAGUUUGUACUAGUUAACCUGGCAGAUAAAAAGGCAUCCCUCUUUUACUAGCAUUCUAGUGUUAGCAUUCUUCAUUGCUUUGUGUCAAUGAAAGAAAAAUGGGCAAAGAGCUGAUGAACAUGAAAAAAGUUCAGUCUACUUGUAAAGACAUGCACAUUGAAACAGAAGAGAUGGUUUUGCCUUUCAAAUUAGCAGUUUUUUUUCUUUUAAGAAUUACAGUGCUGAUGAAGGUAUAAUGAGGCAAGCACUUGCAUAAGCUGUUGGUAGACUGUAAAUUAAUACCUUUCUGGAAUGUACUUUGUGGGGUUUUCUUCUCCCAUAAUUUAAAAAAUAGCUUUAUUAUAGUAUAAUUGACAUACAGUAAACUGCAUAUAUUUAAAGUGUACCAUUAGGUCAGUUUUGACGUACAUACACACACACACACAUCUGUGAAACCACAAUCAAGAUAAUGAAUAUAUCUAUCACCUCUAAAAGGUUCCUGUCUUUGCUUUUUUCUCUGUCCCCUAAACAACCACUGAUCUAUGGCACACAUAGAAAAAAUAUUAGGAAAUAUAUUAAAUGCUCAUUUUGCGUGAGAUAUCCAAAUAUUUUUUUCAGAAUCCCUAAUGAAAAGGUUGAUCUUGCUCUAGAUAUAAGAUAUAAAAUUGUAUUCUUGAAAUGGCUACAUGCAAUUCUUUUUUAUUAUUUUUUAAUUUUAAUUUUUAGUUUUUUAAAGAUGGGGCCCUGCUAUGUUACCCAGGCUAGCUUCAAACUCCUGGGCUCAAGGGAUCCUCCCGCCUCAGCUUCUCAAGUAGAUAGGACUGAUUAUAGGUACAGGCUACUGUGCCCAGCUCAAUUCUUGAUUGAGACAUUUACCAGCUCUCCGAAUUCUCAGUAGUUACCACUGAAUAGAAACUUUCUUUACACAAAGCUGAUUAAACAGUUUAGAACUUUUAAAAAACGUUCAAAAAUUGAAAAUUUUAUAUAUACAUAGCCUAACAACUCUUCUUGUCAUUGACAAAAUGUAAUGGUAUUUUUUUUGUGAUAAUACACAUGGACCUCAAAUGCAAUUGAACUAUUCAUAUCAAGUAUUUCCAAAUAACAAUGACAUUCCAAUUUAUAGAAUGUCAUGUGUUCUGAGGGUAGUCACCCUGCAACUGGCUUGGACAUCUCUAAGCAAAUAGAAGUUUCUGUAAGAUAGAGAUUUGGGGCAUCUACUUGGAACUACCUAUGAGGAGCUGGCAUUCCUCAAAUCCCAACUGACUGCACUUUUCCAUGAAAUUACCCAGCAGUUAUGAUGGUCAGUGGCUCACUCAGCAGCAAGCCACUUAGGUAGCUGGCGAGGUGACGUGGCACAGCCUUGUCUUCACACAGCACAUCACAGCCAGGCAGCAAAGGACAGAUCUCUCUCAUACUCUUCAUUCACAGGGCCUGAGAGGUGGACCAUCAGACUCCACCCUGUUUUGGGCUGACUUGUAGGGAGACCUAGGUGUGGAGCUUCCUGGCCAGGAGGGCAGUGGCUGCCCAGAAGGCAGGAGAUGGCUAUCUCUUUUUUUUUUCCUGAGACGGAGUCAUGGUCUGUCGCCCAGGCUGGAGUGCGGUGGCGUGAUCUCAGCUCACUGCAAGCUCCGCCUCCUGGGUUCAAGCCAUUCUCCUGCCUCAGCCUCCCGAGUAGCUGGGACUACAGGUGCCCACCUCCAUGCCCGGCUAAUUUUUGUAUUUUUAGCAGAAACGGGGUUUCACCAUGUUAGCCAGGAUGGUCUCGAUCUCCUGACCUUGCGAUCCGCCCGCCUUUGGCCUUCCAAAGUGCUGGGAUUAUAGGCGUGAGCCACCACCCCCGGUCCAAGAUGGCUAUCUCUUAACACACUUGUAACCCAUUUGUGCACACAGGUGUGCCAUGACUCACUGGUGGAUCCAAAAAAAGCUGAAGCCUACAUUUCCCAGAGCCCCUUUCAGCUUGAAUUCCAAAUGUGACUUAGCUUCCUCUAUGCAGAUGUACCUACUUGAAACUGGGAAGGCCAAAUGAGAUAGAGAUAAUGUUUCUGCCAACAAACAGCCACAGGGCAUUUUAUUUUUCUAGAAGAGCAAUAACAGAGACCCCAGGGUGUGGUGUGGCAGGACGAGGAGCAUCCAUUUUGCUGGUGGGGAUUGUGGCUAAAAUAAUGUGGCUCUGGAGCCAGCAAUGGGCAGCAUCUUCAUGACUUUCCAGCUUCCAGGCUGUAAGCAGAGAUAGCAUCUCUUCUGGACAGCCAGUUAUGUGAUAGUGUUCUGAGAGUCAUUCCUGGAAGUCAGACUAAAGGCUGCUCCUUCAGCCUUUCCAUUCAUCUUGUGAGCAGGAGGCUUCUGUGCAUGGCCAGAAACUAACAAACAAAAGCACAUUGUGUCUAAACUAGGUUACAGUGGUUUCUGUUAUCAGCAAGUAAAUCCUGAUUGAUAAAGAUACUACAAUAUAUGCACA
rnacentral:lncRNA from 1 species